GGACACUUCAAGAGAGUCUUUUCCUACUGUUCACACUGUUCCUCUUCCUUUCGGAAAACAAAGUCGAACUGAACCGCGCCGACUCUGAACCACCGCAACCCUAGGUAACAGAGUUGCCAGUGGUGCAGCAAUCCAUACGCUUUUUUUUUCCUGCAUUGCUCUUUGCGGUGCAUCUCCGAGAGUUGAUUUACCCCAUCCCGGACACGAGAGCGCAUACCUGACGAUGAAGGCCAUAAAAGCCGCUCGCGAGCGCGAGAUCGAGGCGAACAUCGCCCUCCGGGAGCGCGAGAUCGCCGCGCUGGAGCAAGAGAAGACCGAGCUGCAGUCCUUCAUGACCAGGGCGAACCCGAAAAUGCGCGAGGACCCGCUGCUUGCUUCUUUUCCUGUGCUCAACUACUGCGGCAGGAAGCCGCGCCAAACAAUUCAGAAUGUUUCCGUGGAGCAGUAUGGGAACAUAAUGGUUCAGCUAGAGAUCGCGAAGAAAGCAAUCGAUGCACAGAACCACAAGGACCGCGUCGAAGUUCAAGAGCUGAGCCGCCUCAUUCGUGAGCAGGAGAAACAGCAGAAGACGCUUACGCAAAAGGCGAGGAGGCUCGGUGAGGACGCGGGCAUUGACAUCAAGUAUUUCACAGAGCGCCGGCGUGGUGGGAUGAUGAAGAUGCAGGACUACAAGACUGAGGUCUCUGUUGCUGAGCUGGAGGCGCGCACGCGCCUUGUGGACCACGAGGUCAAGGUAGCCAGGUUGCUUGCUGAAAAGAAGGGCGCCGCCAUCCUCGCGCUCACGAAGCUCGUGGAGAAGCGCCGCUCCACCAUUGAUGACAUCGAUUCCUUGUACAACGAAAUCCGCAUUGUAGAUCGCGACACAACCGUCGCGAGCGAGGAGCUGGCCCGGGUGAAUGCUGACAUCCAGGAUGCGGACGCCUGGCUUGAGGCGCGGCCGAACCCGGCCGACUCGGUGGCGCGCAAGGCCAUUGAGGAGGACUCCGCCACACUCAGGGAAGAGAAGGAGCAAACGGUGAAUGAGCAGCGCGUCCCACAGGAACGCGUCAUCAAGGCGCAGGACUACCGCAUCGCGCAGCUGGAGAAGCGGGCGAAAAUUGUCGAAAAAGCUAUCAAGAACAACGGCCUCUCUCGCGAGGUCGACAAAAUUGUGGCGCACGGCUGGUCGCAGCGGGAGGUGGAGGUGCCGGAGGACCAGGAGGAGCUGUACGACAUUGAGAAAAUCAUCCCGGCCCAGGAGAAGGUCCAUCCUGGCAUCUACAACUUGCUGCUCACGGAGAAGGAGAAGACGGCGCGCAUUGUCAGCAUUCUCACCAUCACCGCCAAGGAGAAGGAGGAGCUCAUCGCUGCCCUCACAACCCGACUAGAAAAGUUGGCAGCGGAGUGCACCGCGGCGAUACAGGAACUGGACAACUACGCAUCGGGGAUGGUGUUUUCCGAGGAGCAGCAGCGUGUGCAGGCACUCAAGUGGGUGCGCGAGCAACGCCGGCGCUGCGCCAAGCUCUUCUAUCAGAAAUCACUCCUUGAGAGCGCCCUGGAGGAGGAUGGUUAGUGGCACUUUUGUAUCACCCGUUAGCGGAGUGAGUCCACCCGAUGCUUUCGUUAUCGUCCUUGACAUUGCACGUUUCCUGCCUCCACGGCAGCCACCAUGGGCAGGCACAGAACCGCACCGCACGUGCGCUCGCUGCGCACACCCAGUUUCUCCUCCGUUGUACCAGCGUUUUUUUUUUUCCUUCACUUUGUUCAGCAUCUCUUUUUUUCUUGGCCGACCCGGAUAGCUGCUGCGGCGCUGUGCAGGUGGAGAGCGAUAUUUCCGUUAGUAGCUCUUCGCAGAGGACUGCCGCGUUCCUAUGGUUCCCGUGAGCAUUCUGCUGGACUCGACAGCGGAGCGGUAGUUGCGCGUGUGUGUGUAUGUGCAUUCGUGUCGUACAGGGUGGAGAUGUGGAUGCCCGCUUUUCAUCUCGCUUUUGCCGCUCAUCCCCUUCCCAUCUCACCUCCUUUGAACGCCCGACAUAGUCGAUUCGCACAAACGAAGCAGCACAAAGGAGUACAUAAACGCCGCGGUCGCGGUUCAAACAAGGGCGACGCUCUCGUCCUCCACUUGUGUAUCUGGAGUUUCGGUCUCCUUUCGAGCUGUUUUCCAUCAUCAGACGUUGUUGUUAUUAGUUUUGUUGUUAUGAUGGCGUGUUGGUCGAUUUGGUCGACUUCUUCCGGCGUCUCUCUCUCUUGUCUUUCCUCUUCCUUUCCCAACUUUGUACCGUUUCUCUUCUCUGGCUUUUUGUGGGGUGCUCGCCACGCCCCUCUUUUUUCUUCUCUCGCGUUACUCGUCUGGUUGGUGUCUGAGUACGAAAACUCAGCCUCACUCAACGCACGUGGAUGAAUGACAGCAUCACGCGCGUGUGUGACGGCGGUGUGUGGUAUAACUUCCCUCUCGUUCAC
rnacentral:misc_RNA from 1 species